rnacentral:rRNA from 1 species
UACAGAGGGGGCAAGCGUUGUUCGGAAUUACUGGGCGUAAAGGGCGCGUAGGCGGCCUGCUAAGUCGAACGUGAAAUCCCCGGGCUCAACCCGGGAACUGCGUCCGAUACUGACAGGCUUGAAUCCGGGAGAGGUGAGUGGAACUGCGAGUGUAGAGGUGAAAUUCGUAGAUAUUCGCAAGAACACCAGUGGCUAAGGCGGCUCACUGGCCCGGUACUGACGCUGAGGUGCGAAAGCGUGGGGAGCAAACAGG